ACAAACUAAUAUUCUUUAACUCAAACCGAAAGGAAUAAUAAAACUAACAAAAGAAGAUAUAAAAAAUCGUACCUUUUGCAUAAUGGUUUUACAAUAUCAAUUAUUUUAUAAUAAUCCCGAAAAUUUAUGAUCUAAUUAUUAUUUGUUAAGAACUAGGCAUAUGUUACAUCAUAACAAUAAAAUAAUAAUUAGAGGCUACAUACCUUCCGCAUAAAUUUAUAUCUGGUUUUACAUACAUCUGUUUUAGACAGAAUUAUUACACCUAAACUUAUAGGAUAAGCUAUAAGCAACUUAUGAAUUUAAACCAAAAAUUAAAAACAAUAGGAAUAAAAUUACCCAUUUAAACUAAUUUCCCUAUACACUCCAAUCAAAUUUAUAUGUAAAAUUUGGUCAUAUCAACAACCAUAUAUAAAAUGUAAAAACAAGUAUUGAUAAAAUUUAUAACAAAUAAAAAAUAACUCUAGUAAACUAAUUCGGCAAUAGAUUAUUUGACUGUUUACCAAAAACAUUUCCUAUAGAAAAAUAUUAUAGGUAGGCCCUGCCCUAUGUAUUAAUAAAUGGCCGCAGUACCCUAACUGUGCUAAGGUAGCAUAAUCAUUUGUCUUUUAAUUAAAGACUGGAAUGAAUGGGUUAACACAAUAAUCACUGUAUCUACUAGACCAAUAAAAACUUUACUUUUGGUGAAAAUACCAAAAUACUCAUAAAGGACAAGAAGACCCUGUAGAGCUUUAGUUAUUAACUUUAAUUGGGGCGAUUAUGGAUACAUACAAAACUUCCAUCACUAACAAGAUUCACAAAUCAAUCUCUGACCCUCCAGGUUCAAAGAAUAAGCUACCUCAGGGUUAACAGGCUUAAAUUCUUUAAGAGUCCAUAUUGACAAGAUUUUUUGGCACCUCGAUGUUGGCUUAACAAUCUAGUUUCUGCAACAGGAAACCCAGAAGGUUUGUUCACCCUUUAAUGCGUUACAUGAGCUGAGUUCAGACCGACGUAAGUCAGGUUAGUUUCUAUCCUUAUGACUGGUAAUAAAUAGUACGAAAGGACCUUUAUUACUUGAUUAUCAAUAUCUAUGAAUUCAUCUAAAUUCACUUU
rnacentral:rRNA from 1 species